rnacentral:rRNA from 1 species
AUUGAACGCUGGCGGCAGGCUUAACACAUGCAAGUCGAGCGGAGAGAGGUAGCUUGCUACUGAUCUUAGCGGCGGACGGGUGAGUAAUGCUUAGGAAUCUGCCUAUUAGUGGGGGACAACAUUUCGAAAGGAAUGCUAAUACCGCAUACGUCCUACGGGAGAAAGCAGGGGAUCUUCGGACCUUGCGCUCAUAGAUGAGCCUAAGUCGGAUUAGCUAGUUGGUGGGGUAAAGGCCUACCAAGGCGACGAUCUGUAGCGGGUCUGAGAGGAUGAUCCGCCACACUGGGACUGAGACACGGCCCAGACUCCUACGGGAGGCAGCAGUGGGGAAUAUUGGACAAUGGGCGCAAGCCUGAUCCAGCCAUGCCGCGUGUGUGAAGAAGGCCUUAUGGUUGUAAAGCACUUUAAGCGAGGAGGAGGCUACUUUAGAUAAUACCUAGAGAUAGUGGACGUUACUCGCAGAAUAAGCACCGGCUAACUCUGUGCCAGCAGCCGCCGCGGUA